rnacentral:rRNA from 1 species
AGUGAACGCUGGCGGUAGGCCUAACACAUGCAAGUCGAACGGCAGCACAGUAAGAGCUUGCUCUUACGGGUGGCGAGUGGCGGACGGGUGAGGAAUACAUCGGAAUCUACUUUUUCGUGGGGGAUAACGUAGGGAAACUUACGCUAAUACCGCAUACGACCUACGGGUGAAAGCAGGGGAUCUUCGGACCUUGCGCGAUUGAAUGAGCCGAUGUCGGAUUAGCUAGUUGGCGGGGUAAAGGCCCACCAAGGCGACGAUCCGUAGCUGGUCUGAGAGGAUGAUCAGCCACACUGGAACUGAGACACGGUCCAGACUCCUACGGGAGGCAGCAGUGGGGAAUAUUGGCCAAUGGGCGCAAGCCUGAUCCAGCCAUACCGCGUGGGUGAAGAAGGCCUUCGGGUUGUAAAGCCCUUUUGUUUGGAAAGAAAAGCAGCAGGUUAAUACCCCGCUGUUCUGACGGUACCCAAAGAAUAAGCACCGGCUAACUUCGUG